UUAGAGUUUUGGAUCUGGCUCAGAUUGAACGCUGGCGGCAGGCUUAACACAUGCAAGUCGAGCGGGGAGAUGUAGCUUGCUACAUUACCUAGCGGCGGACGGGUGAGUAAUGCUUAGGAAUCUGCCUAUUAGUGGGGGACAACAUUCCGAAAGGAAUGCUAAUACCGCAUACGCCCUACGGGGGAAAGCAGGGGAUCUUCGGACCUUGCGCUAAUAGAUGAGCCUAAGUCAGAUUAGCUAGUUGGUGGGGUAAAGGCCUACCAAGGCGACGAUCUGUAGCGGGUCUGAGAGGAUGAUCCGCCACACUGGGACUGAGACACGGCCCAGACUCCUACGGGAGGCAGCAGUGGGGAAUAUUGGACAAUGGGCGAAAGCCUGAUCCAGCCAUGCCGCGUGUGUGAAGAAGGCCUUUUGGUUGUAAAGCACUUUAAGCGAGGAGGAGGCUACUUGGAUUAAUACUCUAGGAUAGUGGACGUUACUCGCAGAAUAAGCACCGGCUAACUC
rnacentral:rRNA from 1 species